ensembl:lncRNA
CUUGUCCAAAGGAGUUUAACAUGUAAAUGUUCCAGCAGUGCGGCUCCCAGUGAGAAGGCAUGCCCGUUAAUUAAGGCCCCCGGGACCGCAUGGUUGCAAUGAGGGAGGGAUGAGCUCUGUGCAUGCAGAAAGGCCUGCUGCUGUUUUCUCUAUGGUAGGGCCCUUUGGACUGAAAGCUAUGCGUGUGUGGGUGAGCUCUGCUGGUUGCUGGGAUGAUUUGCUGUAGGGCAAGACCUUCAGGUACUUCAUGGGAGGAGAGGCUCCAGGAGGAGAGCCUGUGCCCCGCUGCGGUGCCUUGCAGCUCCUGUGUGAGGAUGAACCAGAAGGGAAGAUCCCAGACUGGCUCUUCAGGAUCUGGUUCCUGGGCUGUCCCUUCAUCUUCUGUCAUGCUGAGGAGCAGGAGGGAUGGUGCUACUUGCAGAGGGACCCGCAGGGACACCGUGGGACUGCCCGCAGCACAGCUCCUCUGGCACUGCCUGGGCAGGGAACCCCGCAGUCCAGCACAAGCCAGCUCCCACCAGCACAUCAGCCUCUUGCAGCGUCUGGAUCCGAGCUGUUGCUAAUGAGGAUGGUGCUCAUCAUGUGAUCGUGCCUUUGGGCAAGGGUGGUGGUGCUGCUAAUUGGCUUCUCUGGCUGCGGUUUCCUUAGGAAACAAGGUUAAAGCAACUCACAGCUCAAAAAUGUACCUCCCGGAGGAAGGCGCUUCAUUACUCCUUCCCCUGUAAAUGGAAACAACUCUAUACCUGACGCCGGCCCCUUUCUAUCACCAGGUGGAACCAAAGGAUGUGGGUGCACCUCUGCUAUGAUCUCUCCCGGUGUGUUGGUCCUGCGGCCCAGCCCUGGAUCAACACGUUUUCUAUCUUGUGUAUUUGAUCACCAGAGCUAUGAAAAUUGUGAAAUGAAGUUCUCCCGGCGAAAUCAAAUAGAAAGGAAGUGGCUUUGUAUCAAAC